rnacentral:rRNA from 1 species
UAAGGAAUAUUGGUCAAUGGACGCAAGUCUGUACCAGCCAUGCCGCGUGAAGGAUGAAGGUCCUCUGGAUUGUAAACUUCUUUUAUCUGGGACGAAAACGGGAUUUUUAUCUCAAUUGACGGUACCAGAGGAAUAAGCACCGGCUAACUCCGUGCCAGCAGCCGCGGUAAUACGGAGGGUGCGAGCGUUAUCCGGAUUUACUGGGUUUAAAGGGUGCGUAGGUGGGCUUAUAAGUCAGUGGUGAAAUCUCCGAGCUUAACUUGGAAACUGCCGUUGAUACUAUAGGUCUUGAAUUAUCUGGAGGUAAGCGGAAUAUGUCAUGUAGCGGUGAAAUGCUUAGAUAUGACAUAGAACACCAAUUGCGAAGGCAGCUUACUACAUAUAAAUUGACGCUGAGGCACGAAAGCGUGGGGAUCAAACA